CAUUAGGUAGCUGAAAGCAAGCACUGGUCUCUUAAACCACUUUAUAGUAAAUUAGCACUUACUCCUAAUGA
rnacentral:tRNA from 1 species